rnacentral:rRNA from 1 species
GGGGAGUGAAAGAGAACUUGAAACCGUGUGCUUACAAGUAGUCAGAGCCCGUUAAUGGGUGAUGGCGUGCCUUUUGUAGAAUGAACCGGCGAGUUACGAUCUGAUGCAAGGUUAAGCAGCGAAUGCGGAGCCGCAGCGAAAGCGAGUCUGAACAGGGCGUUGAGUAUUUGGUCGUAGACCCGAAACCAGGUGAUCUACCCUUGGUCAGGUUGAAGUUCAGGUAACACUGAAUGGAGGACCGAACCGACUUACGUUGAAAAGUGAGCGGAUGAACUGAGGGUAGCGGAGAAAUUCCAAUCGAACCUGGAGAUAGCUGGUUCUCUCCGAAAUAGCUUUAGGGCUAGCCUCAAGUGAUGAUUGUUGGAGGUAGAGCACUGUUUGGACGAGGGGCCCUUCUCGGGUUACCGAAUUCAGACAAACUCCGAAUGCCAAUCAAUUUAACUUGGGAGUCAGAACGUGGGUGAUAAGGUCCAUGUUCGAAAGGGAAACAGCCCAGACCACCAGCUAAGGUCCCAAAAUAUAUGUUAAGUGGCAAAGGAUGUGGUAUUGCCCAGACAACUAGGAUGUUGGCUUAGAAGCAGCCAUCAUUUAAAGAGUGCGUAAUAGCUCACUAGUCGAGUGACACUGCGCCGAAAAUGUACCGGGGCUAAACAUAUUACCGAAGCUGUGGACUGUCCUUCGGACAGUGGUAGGAGAGCGUUCUAAGGGCGUCGAAGCAUGAUCGCAAGGACAUGUGGAGCGCUUAGAAGUGAGAAUGCCGGUGUGAGUAGCGAAAGAUGGGUGAGAAUCCCAUCCACCGAUUGACUAAGGUUUCCAGAGGAAGGCUCGUCCGCUCUGGGUUAGUCGGGUCCUAAGCCGAGGCCGACAGGCGUAGGCGAUGGAUAACAGGUUGAUAUUCCUGUACCGCCAAUGAUCGUUUUAAGCGAUGGGGGGACACAGUAGGAUAGGCGAAGCGUGCUGUUGGAGUGCACGUCCAAGCAGU